rnacentral:piRNA from 1 species
UGGCAGUUAUCAAAGGGCCCUGUUCUUGUG